UCCUAUCGCAUUCAAUUUUUGUUUUCGUCUCCGGUUGUCUUCUUUAGUUCAGUUUCUGUUCUAGCAGAUGUAAUAGUGAGAAGCACGGAUAGUCAGUGCCAUCUUGCGGCCUUCAUUCUGUAUGUUGUAUCUCAUUUCCUUUUCCCCUGUCCUCCUAAUUAUAGUCUGCGUACCUCUUUGGUGUUGCUUGCUAUUCUUGCCACAUCCGGUCAUCAACUUCCUCUGGCUUCUAUGUACGUGGGGGUAUGCUGGACAACACUGUUCAGCAGUUAGUGGAUCCGAGCUGUAAGAGGCGUGUCAACCAUGUUUGUGUGCCCUUUCUUUGGAUGUUUCUAUGCGAAAGGUUUGAUCUUGCUAUCACUCCGCAUCCCCUCACGUGUUUCCAGGUCUUUGUUGCUACUCUGCAGGGGGAGAAGUUUGAGGAGAAGGUUUUCGAUGUUUCUAGGGGAAAUGGUGGUUGCAACCUACUCGCCAUAAGAGGUUCAAGAUGGCUGAAAUCGGCGUGUUGUUGGCUUUGUUGGACGGGUUUGAAUGGAGGUUGUACGCUCACCCAGUGCGCAACGCAAUCCCAUUUUAUGUUGGUGCCCCUGUUCCUAAUGACACCGAUCAACAGUGUGCAAUGGAUGUCCGUGUCCUAUUGCAGGCAUAGUCCAUUUGGUCAUGUGACCCAGGGUUGUGGCCUAUCUUGAUCACAUUGGAGAGGCGCAACAGGUUGCUUAUCGUCCGGACCGAGUGAUGCGCCAGUUUGGAUAUGAUGAUCUGGGUGGCCAAUUUUGUAGUGUUCGGGAGAUAAUGUCUUCUGGACUCGGCGGCACAACUGUGCUUUUCUAGAGUGCUCGCGUCUACCAGUUGCUGGCUUGUUCAGGGUGUAGAGAUGUAGGGCUCUAUAGUUGUCCUAUCUUUGUGCGAUGUUGUGGGCUUUCAAGAGGUAGUCAGGAGAACCUCUCCACUUUGUCACUCUUUGGCUCCUACGAGGGUCAUACCACCAACCGGGGUAUCGUCCCACCCCCUACUGCGUCGCGACCAUCAGAGAUGGUUGGAGCUAAACGCAAGAAGGGACCCCUGGUCUUGGAGGAGGGUGAGAGCAGUUAUCCUCCAGUUGUGAAGAGGGUAUGGUCUGUGAGGGUGCCCUAUCCUCCGUGGUUUGGUGUGGUACCGGAGCCUCCGGUUGUGUCUUCAUAGCAUGAGCUUGCAAGUGAUCAGGGGGCUUCGACAACGGCUCCCGUUGGGGGGGGCUGCUCCGAUCAUGAAGUCGGUGGAGCUGUUAGUUACUGUAUCCUCUCCGGGGGGUGCUAUCGUCCGAUUCUCGAGCGGGCAAAUGAAGAGGAAAGCUCCCCCUCACCCGAAGCGAGGUAUCGGGGGUGAUGAUUCAGUACUCAUGUGGACACGGAGGUUCGGGUGGUGCCUCCAGAUUAGACGAUAGAGGCCCCGGUCACCUCCUUUGUCGGAGCAGGUUUGUCGGUUAACCACGAUGAAACUCAACCCAGUGAGGAUGUUUUGGGCAUUAAUGAAGCGGAUCAAGAGGCUUUCUUCUUUAGAUUUCUACUCGGGAUGCCAAACACGCCCUUCUGUAGGCAUCUAGCCGAGGAGUUUAGGGCAAUGCAGCCCCCUAGAGUUGAAUCCAUGGUUGCGCAGGAUGUUGAAGGUGGCAACGACGUCUGUGACUCCAUUGUCCAGGAAGUGCACCCGUCUAUGGGUUCAGAGGCAGUGACACGGCAUGUAGAGUCUACUUUUGCUGUUGGUCAUGCUGAUGUCUCUGGGGAUAUAGGGGAGAGGACAUCUGUUGAGCCUCCCCCCAUGUUGCGGUGAGCGGUGCUUCCGAGGGUGCUUCUCCACAGCGUGAGGUCAACGACUUUGUGGCACCUGAGGCUUCGGGUGACAUGGAACGCCACUCGGGAAAUGAAGACAUGGAACCCGAGUUUACAAUCUCCCGUUAUUGCACUUCCCGGUGGUGGAGUCGGUACAGGUUUAUGGCAAGGGUGUGCAGUACAGCAUUUCCAACAUCGUUGCCAAGUUCACGUCAACUACGAUUCGUGCAAAGUGGUUACCAGAAGGAAGGCUGCAUCCACCAUUGCCACGCUAACCAAUUGUGUAAUGGCCCACCCGUCAGAGGAUUUACCAUGGGCUGAAUUCUCCGGCUGGCUGGAGGCAUGUCGGGCUUUCUCAUUGAUGGGUUUCUUCAUGGAACAAAUGGAGAAGCAGGUUGUGGUAUUGGCACACGCCUUCUAGAAGGCUAGUCGGGACAUGCCUCAGAUCAACUUGUUCCGUUCAAUGAAGGAUGUCCGGGGGCGCCAGAAGGUAGUCAAAGCAAGCGUCGCUCGGGUUGCGGAGAAGUUUGAGGGCUUGAGGGAAGAAUGUGCGUGGCAGGAGCGGAUCCUUGUAUUAGACAGUGUAUG